ACGUUUUGUGAUGAGUGAUUGUCAACGUGAUCCACGAAUAGGUUGAGUUGGUGACUAACAUUACCAUGGCGAAAGCUAUGUGUGCGAUAUGUCCCUUGGCUUGUGGUGUUCAGAUGUGGAGCUCGGACACAGUGGUCGACGGCGAGGAGAAGGUCAAGUAGAGACGUGCCGUGCCGAUGGACCUAGAGCGGUGAAGGGCGGACGUGAGGCUAGACUGACGGACCAGGAGGCCGGGUGACCGGCUGUAGUGGCUGACAUCUGGGACAUCGACAAGUGCAAGAGUACAUGGGAGUGACCGUGUUGACCAAGUCAGGACGGCGGACGCGAGUCGAGCGAGGCUCAGGAGGACUUAGCGGGCCGGCCGGCCGAGGACGGCGGUGACACGUGUCGAGUGGCGGGGAAGCGUAUGGAGUACGCUACUCGCGGCGGGUUUCGCGGGUUUGGGCCUCAAAACCCGGGCGGAGGUCCCGAUGCGGACGGAUGGCACGUGGCGGCAUCGGUGAGAUCGCUUCGGAGCGAGGCUACCGGUGAGAAGGCGCGGUGGCCGUCGGAUUUAGGUCAUGUCGAGUUGGACUAGAAUGCCCUUGGGGCUAGCUAGUUCGCUCAAAAAUAUCUAGGGACAUUUGGGAAAUAUAUAAUAUGCCUGAUAAAUAAACCGGAGGUUUUCCCUAUCCCCCUAAUCCUCUCCAUCUCUCUCUCUCAUUCCUGUCUUUCUGUCCGUAGACUCCUCCUCCUCCUUUCGUUUUUGUUAGUAGAAGGCUAUGAACUGAAAUUUUUAGGAGAGUUUUUGUACUGGAUUUUGAGUUGGGAAUGGAGGCCCAAAUCCUCCAGUUGUCCUCCGGGAUUCAUCACUUCUUCUUGUGAUUUUGUUUCUGUGCUGUGCUGUGUUCUUGUCUCCUUUUUCGUUCAUGGGUUCGAUCUCGAUUUCCCGGAGUUUGGGAUCAUCCCAGGCAAUAAUUUUUGGGGAAUAGGUUCGUGCUUUGGUGAAUUGCAUCUAUGCAAAAUUUGAGCUCAGUAGCUUUUGAAUCCAGAGAGAUCCAUUCCUUUUUGUGUUCGUUUCUUUUUGUGUUCUAGUGCUCGCGGCUCUGUCUAUUUUUCAGUUGUGUGUUCAGGUCCUGUGUUGUAGGCCUGGUGGAUCCAAAGGAGAGCACCGGUGGUGUUUGGGAGCAGUUCUGUGCAAACCCUGGUCAUCUGGUGGCUGGAGUUCAGUGCAUCCCGGCGUCCACCAGUUGGGCGGCGUUCAGACACCAGGUGCUGGGUGAAACUAACUCUUUCUGUCUGUUUUGUUUUUGCUGCUAAGCAAUGAAUGGACUACAGCUGCUGCAGAUAGUUGUCCAAUCGUUCAUCUAGCACAAAGUUGUUUGGUUCUUUGAUCCUGGUGCACAGCAAGCAGCAAUUUCAGUAGCUCGUGCAUGACCUGAGUAAUCAUUUUGUGUUUAGUCACUCUCAUUCUACAGGAGCAAAUCUUUGCUUGGUUCUGUGAUUUACUUUAGUCAUGUACGUAGUAAUCUUUUAGCACUUGGUUGCUUUAUGUUGUUUUGUUCCUUGCGUGAUUGACUGGUGUAGUUCUCUAGCAGUGCUUCUGUUCUGGAGCCAAUCACAGCAGCUUGUUCUCGUGUUUUUUGUGAUUGGUCAUCGAUUUGGAUAGUCAGUGCCCUGCCGAUGGCAUCCAGUGGGAGCUCCGAUGCAGGUUGCAGGCAGCCUCUGUGGGGAUACUAGUUCAUGCUCGUACAGGUUUUUGGUUGAUUCUCAUCAGGUGUUGGUUAGUUAGAAAUCGCAGCAGUUUGUGAUUACCUAGAGCCAUCAUUUUUGUUUUUUUGAGAGUCUCGUUCCUGACUGUGAGUGGCCAUAAAAUUUCCUACCUACAGGCUUGUGUUUUUAAGUGAUUUUCUUGUCUGUCUUUUUAGGUGUUUAUCUGUCCAAUUUAUUCUUCUUUGAUUUCCUGUUUCGUUCGUAUUUUGGUCGUUCGAGCUCCGAUUUGAUUUCCGUCAGUUGCGUUCGUCUUCUAUCAUUGUAAGGAAUUUUAUCAAAUUGCUCUUGUCACCAGUUGACUUGAGUAAUUCAGUUUCGGGUACUUAUUUGUGUUUGGCGGUGAUUUGGGACAGUGGCCAAAAUUAUUUCGAAAGAAAAUUUACGGCUCCCAUUCACCCCCCCUCUGGUCGCCGCUUUCGGUCCUUCAAUUGGUAUCAGAGCCGGUUAAGGAUCAUUCCACCUUAAUCGGUUCGUGAUCCACGAAGGCGACAUGGAGCGUGGUUCCGGUAAACCACCAUUUUUCGAUGGAACAAACUAUCCCUAUUGGAAAAUACGCAUGUCUGCCCAUCUCCAGGGUAUUGAUUGGCUUGUUUGGGAAAUUUGCGAGGAUGCUACUUUCGUUGUGCUUGAACCUCGUGCUCGAACCACGCAAGAUCAAAAAGAUCGGCACAACGCAAAUAGCAGAGCAAGAUCUGUUCUUUUCUCGAGUCUUUCGCUUCCUGAGUUUGAGCGUGUCUCUGAUUGUGCUACUGCUCGAGAGAUCUGGGUGAGGCUUCAGAGCUAUCACGAGGGUACAGCCCAUGUCAAAACCAGACUCUAUGAGACGUACAAAAGAGAGUAUGAGAACUUCACUCAGCUUGAUGGCGAGUCCAUCGAUGCCAUGUUUUCUCGUUUUCAGACGAUCAUUAACAAGAUGCGAGCAAACAAGGCACAGCUACCUUAUGACGAUCAUGAGAGGGCUCUCAAGCUUCUAUAUGCCCUAGAUCGGAAGGUAUGGGAUGUGAAGGUGUCCGCCAUUAUCGAGUCUUCGAACUACGACACCAUCACUGUGGACGAGCUGUUCAGCAAGCUCAAGUCCACCGAGAUCGACUACCAGACUCAAGCCAAGCUUAAGAAUCCCUCUGCACCGACUAUGGCUUUAGUCUCAGGUAACAGUUCAAGUUCUUCAGCUAACCCUUCACAGAUGUCGUUUGCCUUGUCUUCUUUGGUGUCUGUUUCAGAGGAGCAGUUGGAGACCCUUGGGGAUGACGAGCUCGCGUUGAUCAUCAGCCGGUUCUCGCGGUUCCACAACAACCGCUUGAACCGCCGCCGGGGCGGUGAUCAAAAGGUGGGCUGCUACAACUGUGGAGAUCUCGACCACUUCGUCGCCCACUGCCCCAAGAAGAACAAGCACUCCUCCGACAAGUACGACUCCGGCAAGCGCAAGGACAAGCGCGACUACACCUCCAAGAAGUACAAGUCAAAGAAGGGCUUCGACAAGGAGGCGCUUAAGAAGAUGUACCGCAAGAAAGCCAAGGCACAAGAGCGUGCCUUCCUUGCUUCCCUCAGCGACCUCGACAACGACUCCGGCGAUGACCGCUCCUCUUCUCCCUCGAGUGACGAUGAGUCCGAGAGGAAGAUGGAGGAGAAGCUGACCGGUCUUUGCUUCGUCGCUGACUCCACUCACGGAGGCUUCUGCACCAUGGCGAUUGAUGAAGAGGUGAAGGCCAGCAAGGAUGAGGUCUCCUUCGACGACGACACCUCCGAGGUACCUCCUUCUGUCGAUGACCUUGUCGCUGAGCUUGAUAGCAUGAAUAUCACCUUGAUUAGUCAAGAUAAAUUGCUUAAGCGUGCUGCCCGUGAGAGGAAAGAGUUUAAGGACAAGCUAGAGUUGGCGCUUAAGGAGCUUGAGGUUGCUAAGGAGUGUGCUGUGGUUGUGUCAGAUGAAGUAGAGUGCGAUGAGUGUGCUGUUCAUAUGUCUAACUUCUCUGAAUUGCAAUCUAAGUAUGCUACUUUGCUUGAUGAGUAUGGUGAGCUGAAAGCUAGGCCUGUCUUGUUGGGUGCGUGCAAGUCCUGCUCAGGCUUGCAAUCUGAGCUGGCAGAGAAGAAUGCCAAGAUCUCUAUUCUUGAGAAGGCCAGUUCAGAUAGCACUAUUGCUAAGUGUGCACGUUGUGAGAGUUUGGUGCUAGAGCUUGAGUCUUGUAGGCACGAUAAGAUGAGAUUCGAGGAAGACAACACAUACCUUCGGUCCAUCUUGAGCUGGGUGUCUAGCAGUGAGCCACAGUUAGGCAUGAUGAUGAGCCAGUUCAGGCGGGGAACUUGCACAUCGGGUGUAGGCUUUGCUAUAGGUGGGAAGGGUGAAAAUCUUUAUGGCAAGGUUGGUGAGUUUAGUGGUUUGAGCCCAAGUGAGAAACCAUCCACCACUCCCAAGUUGAUCAAAUUCACUCCACCUGAGCCUUCCAAACUCACUGUCAAAGAUGGAGUGUUUGAAGAACCUCCAAAAUCCCCACCUCAGAAACAAGUGUGGAUUCCAAAACCUAACCAUCUCAGGAACCCACUUGACACUCUACCAAACAUCUCUGAGGAUCCCCUUCCUAAAGCCAAAAAGCCACCAAGAGUGAACCAUACCCACAAGAGAGUGAACCAACAACCACCCAAGAGAGAGGUAAGGUAUCACUGUGAGUAUUGCCAUAGGGAUGGUCACCUUGUUGAGUUUUGCUUUAGGAGGAAGAGAGAUGAGCGGCGAGAGUACGAGUUGAACAACCGGAACAUGUACCGCCCACCCCAUGGCGUACAUGUGCCGCCUGUUCAGAGGCGCAGUGCUAGGCCUAGAGGUGCAAUGCCUCAAGGUGCUAGGCCUCAGCUUGCGAGACCACGUGGUGGUCGUGCCCGACGUGGUUCAGGUCAUGAUCAAUAUGACUUUGAACCUCGUGGCGGUGGCUUUGCUUCUCAGUCCCACAGCUCUAGCGGACCACGUUUUCCCUUUCGUGGUGAUUGCUUUCCUCAAAUGGGACAUGGCAUGCUUGGUGUUUUUCCUAACACUUUUCCAGGGCAAAUGACCCAACACUGGUAUCCUUCACAGUUUACUAACCCCAGUGUUGCGCCAUUUGCUCACCCCAUGUCUUUCUAUUGAUGCAGAUCGGAGGCCUGGAGAACACGUGGCUUGUUGAUUCCGGUUGUUCGCGCCACAUGACCGGAAGUUCAAAAUGGUUCUCCAGCCUCGACCCCGUGCAAUGUAAGGAAUACAUCACAUUUGGGGACAACAGCAAAGGUAAAGUGCUUUCUCGUGGGACCAUUCGGGUCAAUGAGAAUUUUGUCUUGAAGGAUGUUGCUUUGGUUUCGAAUUUGCAUUUUAAUUUGCUUUCGGUUUCGCAACUCCUUCAGGAUGGUUUUGAGGUGCGUUUUAAGACCGGCUUGUCUCGAGUUCUUGAUUCUCAGGGAAAUCUUGUUUGCCAGAUUGUCCCUUUUGGUCGUGUCUUUCGAGCCGAUUUUUCUUACUCUUUUGGCUCUUCUCGUUGUCUUGUGGCUGGAUCCUCUUCUGAUCUUUGGAAAUGGCAUAGGAGACUUGGUCAUUUGAGUUUUGACUUACUAGCUAGGUUGAGCUCACUUGACUUAAUCCGAGGAUUGCCCAAAUUGAAAUUUGAGAAGGAUUUGGUUUGUCACCCUUGUCGUCAUGGGAAGAUGGUUGCCGCUUCUCACCCUCCUGUGACUCAGGUCAUGACCAAGGGACCCGGUGAGCUACUUCAUAUGGACACAGUUGGUCCGGCUCGGGUUCGGUCAGAGGGAGGGAAGUGGUAUGUUCUAGUGAUUGUGGAUGACUUUUCUCGCUACUCUUGGGUGUUUUUCAUGGAGGGUAAGGAUGAGGCUUUUUCUCAUGUUCGAGACUUGAUUCUUCGGUUACAAACUGAGUUGCCUAAGAAUGCCAUGAGAGCUAUACGCAGUGACAAUGGCACAGAAUUCAAAAACACUCAGUUUGAUACCUUCUGUGCUUCUUUGGGCCUCGAGCACCAGUUUUCCUCUCCUUAUGUUCCCCAGCAAAAUGGUGUUGUUGAGCGCAAAAAUCGGACCCUUGUUGAGAUGGCCAGGACGAUGCUCGAUGAGCAUAGGACUCCUAGGAGAUAUUGGGCCGAGGCGAUCAACACCGCCUGUCAUGUCUCCAAUCGCAUUUUUCUUCGAGCCUUCUUGAAAAAGACUUCUUAUGAGUUGCGAUUUGGUAGACUACCCAAGGUAAGUCACUUUAGGGUGUUUGGUUGCAAGUGUUUCAUCUUGAAGCAAGGUAAUUUGGACAAAUUUGAGUCUAGGUCCUCCGACGGUAUUUUUCUUGGUUAUGCUUCUCAUUCUCAUGCAUAUCGUGUACUUAACCUUGAAACUAACCGAGUCGUGGAGACCUGUGAGGUCACAUUCGAUGAGACUAUGCCAUGUUCUUCUCCUGUCUUUGAAUGUGCAGGUGAUCAGGAGAUUGGUGAGAGCAUCUUUGUUGAGGAUGAUGCAGAAGAUGCUGAUUGGGGUGAUCCCGAGCCGACACCACUGGCUGCCCCUCUCGCGUCUUCGACGACUACUUCGGCUGACGGCCCCGAUCCCUCUUCUUCCACUACUUGGGGUCCGUUCGAGCAGCCUCCUCAGCCUACACCGGCUAUUCCUGAGGAGGCCCCAGCUGCAGUUGAGGGGGAGGCGACUUCUUCAAGGGAAGCACCUCGACACAUUCAGCGUCGCCAUCCACCUGAGACCAUGAUUGGUGAAAUUGACCAGCGAGUCACGCGGUCCAGGUCAUAUCACAUCUCACACUUCGCUCACUCUGCUUUUGUUGCUUCUUUUGAGCCUCGAGAUGUUGGACACGCACUAUCUAAUCCUGAUUGGGUUAAUGCUAUGCAUGAGGAGUUAGAAAAUUUUGAGAGAAACAAGGUUUGGGUUUUAGUACCACUUCCACCAGAUUGCCAUCCCAUAGGUACCAAGUGGGUUUUUAAAAACAAACAAAGUGAAGAUGGGGUGGUAGUGAGGAACAAGGCUAGGUUGGUAGCUCAGGGUUUUUGUCAGAAAGAGGGGAUAGACUAUGAGGAAACCUUUGCUCCUGUUGCUCGUCUAGAAGCCAUUAGGAUCCUUUUAGCCUUUGCAGCUUCAAAAGGGUUCAAGCUGUAUCAGAUGGAUGUGAAGAGUGCUUUCUUGAAUGGGUAUAUAGAGGAAGAGGUCUAUGUGAGACAACCCCCUGGCUUUGAAAAUCCUAAGUUUCCUGACCAUGUUUUUAAACUCCACAAAGCCUUGUAUGGUCUAAAACAAGCCCCGAGAGCCUGGUAUGAGCGUUUGAAAACCUUCUUGCUUGCAAAGGGUUUUAAAAUGGGUUCGGUUGAUAAAACUUUGUUUCUCCUCAAGCAAGGCACUAACACUCUUUUGGUUCAGAUAUACGUGGAUGAUAUCAUUUUCGGUGGCUCUUCUCAUGCACUUGUUGGCAAGUUUGCAGAAACUAUGAGCAGGGAAUUUGAGAUGAGCAUGAUGGGCGAGUUGACGUUCUUUCUUGGUUUGCAAAUCAAGCAAACUAGAGAAGGGACGUUUGUGCACCAAGGCAAGUACACCAAGGACGUACUCAAGAAAUUUGAUAUGGGCGAGGCCAAGCCUCUCUCGACGCCCAUGUCGACCACGACGGCCCUGGAUGCAGAUGAAGAAGGAGAAGCUGUGGACCAGAAGGAGUACCGAAGCAUGAUCGGGUCACUACUGUACCUGACGGCGACAAGACCGGACAUCCAGUUCGCGGUCUGCUUGUGUGCGCGCUUUCAGUCUUCGCCGCGCACAUCUCAUCGUCAAGCCGUCAAGCGGAUCUUGAGGUACCUUCGUUUCACACCUGAGUUUGGUCUUUGGUUUUCAGCUUCCUCCUCUCUUUCUCUUUGCGGCUAUUCUGAUGCGGAUUAUGCCGGCUGCCGUGUUGAGCGUAAGUCCACGUCGGGGACUUGCCAGUUUCUUGGGACUUCUCUUGUGUCUUGGUCCUCUCGCAAGCAAUCCUCAGUUGCCCAAUCCACCACAGAAGCCGAGUAUGUUGCUGCUGCUGCUUGCUGCUCCCAGUUGCUUUGGAUGAUAGCUACUUUGAGAGAUUUUGGGUUAGAGUUUAGGCGAGUGCCUCUGCUUUGUGAUAGCACCAGUGCUAUAAGCGUUGCUAAAAACCCAGUUCUCCACUCAAAAACCAAGCAUAUAGAUGUCCGCUUUCACUUCCUGCGUGACCACUAUGAGAAAGGAGAUAUUGACCUACACCAUGUUGAUACCCAAAAUCAGCUUGCAGACAUCUUUACUAAACCCCUUGACCAAGCCCAGUUUGCUCGCUUGCGAGGGGAGCUUGGAGUUUGUUUCCCUUUUUAGUUGAGGGGCACUUUUGUUUUUUUUUGUACACUAGUUUUGUUUUCCUUUAGUUUCGCUUUUAUUUUAUUUUUGUAUCAUAUUGCAUUGCAUUUCAUCUCAUCAUGUAUAUUAGAGCAUUUUGAGCUUCAUGAUUAUAGUUGUUAGAUUGAGAUUAUGCUCUUUGUGAUAUGUCUUGUAUGUACAUGAUGGUGCUUGUCGCUUAGGCUCUUUUUGAUCACUUGAUGCAUGUUAUGAGCUAAGCAUGUUUUAUAACAUGUGAACUUGACAUAAACUUGUUGAAACCUGAAAAUUGUUCACCAUUGUGAUUGGCAACUAGCAUGUGUAGGAUGUGUUGAGAUCACUUGAGCUAUCAUUUAUAUGCUAGGUUGCUAUGUCUCAUGCUUUGAGUUAUACACUUGCUUUGACAACUUGUAAAUUCUUGUGCUAAAAAUUGAAAAUCAAGCUAAGUGAAAAGAAAAGAUCGAGAUGGGUCUGUACUGUCCUACGUCAAGGUAUCGAGACUGCUUCCAAUUGCACUUAUGGAUGAACUUGAGCCUUGUAGUGGAUGCCGAGAUCAUUGUCUUAAGCUUGCGAUUGUCUUUGACAUAGGCUUGGCAUGGUCGAUAAGUUGGUUUGAUGGUACAGAUAACCUCUUGCACUCACACAUGUUUUUGACUAAACCUUGUGAUAUGCUGCAAACUCCGAUAAAAUGAAAAUUUGAUGAAAACACAAGUCUAAAGUUAGUCUUUGACAUGAUGUAUGAACGCUGCUUGGGGUAGUUCACCUUGUAUACACUUGUUAGCACUAGGUUGAUUUCCUGCUUAUACCUGCUAUGUGCUACUUUCAGUGGUGAACUCCUUCUUACAAUUGCUUAAAAUUGAUCAAAAAUGCUUAAAUGUCAUAUUUCGUUUCACUUGAUCAGUUUGAGCAUUUGCUAGCACUUGUACUUAUUGCUAUACACACAUGACAGCACCACCUAGAGCAUCUUUUCAAUCUGAUUGCUAUACUCCUGAAGCUUUUGUAUAUGUGCAUUUCUUGCAUUCAUAGCAUGUUUUGAGGGGGAGUUGCACUCCUUUGGGCAAAUCUUGAUAAGUGCAUGUGUCAACAAGGGGGAGAAAGUUACACACAAAAAGAGAGACAUGCAUUCAUUUGAGAGAGAUUGCAUUUGCUCAGGGGGAGUUGCAUUUGAGUUGCAUUGAAGUUGCUUUUGCUAGAUGUGUUGAGCCCGUUUGCCUCUUCUUGAGGGCUAGCUGUGUUUUACUUGGUUGUGUCGAGCCUUUGCCCAUGUCUUUGGGGACCAAGUUUUUGCCAAGUGUUGCUCACUUCAAAUGACCCUGUUUUGGUUUUCUCCGGCUUUUGGUCAUUUGGGUGAGUUCUUCCUUCCUCUUUCUCUAUUUUUUCUUUUGCUCAAGCUGUUCGUGUGAGGAUGUUGACAAUGCACUCAUCAAGGGGGAGAUUGCGAACACAAGGUCGAGAAGUACCCUUGUGGUACAUUUUGUGAUGAGUGAUUGUCAACGUGAUCCACGAAUAGGUUGAGUUGGUGACUAACAUUACCAUGGCGAAAGCUAUGUGUGCGAUAUGUCCCUUGGCUUGUGGUGUUCAGAUGUGGAGCUCGGACACAGUGGUCGACGGCGAGGAGAAGGUCAAGUAGAGACGUGCCGUGCCGAUGGACCUGGAGCGGUGAAGGGCGGACGUGAGGCUAGACUGACGGACCAGGAGGCCGGGUGACCGGCUGUAGUGGCUGACAUCUGGGACAUCGACAAGUGCAAGAGUACAUGGGAGUGACCGUGUUGACCAAGUCAGGACGGCGGACGCGAGUCGAGCGAGGCUCAGGAGGACUUAGCGGGCCGGCCGGCCGAGGACGGCGGUGACACGUGUCGAGUGGCGGGGAAGCGUAUGGAGUACGCUACUCGCGGCGGGUUUCGCGGGUUUGGGCCUCAAAACCCGGGCGGAGGUCCCGAUGCGGACGGAUGGCACGUGGCGGCAUCGGUGAUAUCGCUUCGGAGCGAGGCUACCGGUGAGAAGGCGCGGUGGCCGUCGGAUUUAGGUCAUGUCGAGUUGGACUAGAAUGCCCUUGGGGCUAGCUAGUUCGCUCAAAAAUAUCUAGGGACAUUUGGGAAAUAUAUAAUAUGCCUGAUAAAUAAACCGGAGGUUUUCCCUAUCCCCCUAAUCCUCUCCAUCUCUCUCUCUCAUUCCUGUCUUUCUGUCCGUAGACUCCUCCUCCUCCUUUCGUUUUUGUUAGUAGAAGGCUAUGAACUGAAAUUUUUAGGAGAGUUUUUGUACUGGAUUUUGAGUUGGGAAUGGAGGCCCAAAUCCUCCAGUUGUCCUCCGGGAUUCAUCACUUCUUCUUGUGAUUUUGUUUCUGUGCUGUGCUGUGUUCUUGUCUCCUUUUUCGUUCAUGGGUUCGAUCUCGAUUUCCCGGAGUUUGGGAUCAUCCCAGGCAAUAAUUUUUGGGGAAUAGGUUCGUGCUUUGGUGAAUUGCAUCUAUGCAAAAUUUGAGCUCAGUAGCUUUUGAAUCCAGAGAGAUCCAUUCCUUUUUGUGUUCGUUUCUUUUUGUGUUCUAGUGCUCGCGGCUCUGUCUAUUUUUCAGUUGUGUGUUCAGGUCCUGUGUUGUAGGCCUG
rnacentral:lncRNA from 1 species